AUACUGUGUUUGCUGAUCUUAGCUGGAGCAGGGUAUACUAGCACCAUCCUGCUUAAGAAUGGUAAAUUAUCUGACUUGAUCGGUGAACUUCAGUCUUUGUUGAAUGGAACCGGAGAACAAUAAGCUGGUGACUUUGAUGCGAUCGCAUCACAGGUGCGCCGACUGGCAGCUGAGGUCCGGCAACUUGGCUUGUCACGACAGAUAACCGUCCUGAAGGGGAAUGAUAGCC